rnacentral:pre_miRNA from 2 species
AAUUUCAUCUAAAAAAGUAAUAAACAUAAAUGUCGUAGAACUCAUCAAGAUGUACAACUUUUAUUUGGUCAUUUCUUCAUCCGACAAAGUGAUAGUAACAUUGUUAACAAAAUUUACAUAUUUCUCUUAUAGUUUAUAAAACCAUAUGAGAGAGAUGUAAAAUUCGUAAACAAUGUUACUAUCAAUUUGUUGGAUGAAGAAAUGACCAAAAUAAAAGUUAUAGAUCUUGAUGAGUUAUACAACUUUGUUGUUGAUUAAUUUUUCUUAUUUGAAAAU